rnacentral:rRNA from 1 species
GAAACUCAAAUGAAGUUGACGGGACCCGCACAAGCGGUGGAUGAUGUGGUUUAAUUCGAUGCAACGCGAAAACCUUACCCACCUUUGACAUGGCAGGAAUCCCGAAGAGAUUUGGGAGUGCUCGAAAGAGAACCUGCACACAGGUGCUGCAUGGCUGUCGUCAGCUCGUGUCGUGAGAUGUUGGGUUAAGUCCCGCAACGAGCGCAACCCUUGCCAUUAGUUGCUACGAAAGGGCACUCUAAUGGGACUGCCGGUGACAAACCGGAGGAAGGUGGGGAUGACGUCAAGUCCUCAUGGCCCUUAUAGGUGGGGCUACACACGUCAUACAAUGGCCGGUACAGAGGGUAGCCAACCCGCGAGGGGGAGCCAAUCCCACAAAGCCGGUCGUAGUCCGGAUCGCAGUCUGCAACUCGACUGCGUGAAGUCGGAAUCGCUAGUAAUCGCGGAUCAGCAUGUCGCGGUGAAUACGUUCCCGGGUCUU